AAGCCUAGAAUGAAUUCUUCCUGGGUCGAUGCCCGAGCGGUUAAUGGGGACGGACUGUAAAUUCGUUGGCGACAUGUCUACGCU
rnacentral:tRNA from 12 species